AUGAUAAAUAUGUCUUCUCGGGCAAAUUUUGCAGCACGAGAGUAGAAAAAUUAAAACUUGCAUCAGAGUAUAUAAUCGCUGCUGCAUGUGGAAGUGGUGGAAUAAUCAUUAUUGUCACUAUAUUAGUUUGUUUAGUCUGCAGAAGUAGAAAUCACAAAGAAAGACAAGAAAAAGACUAUUAUAUAACAGAACACGAUACUUUAAGUAAUAAGCAUCCAGCGGGACUUUUUGAACGUCAAAGGACACCUUCUAAUGUGUACCUCUCAAUGCGAGAUAGUGCGUAUAACGUUGACGACAGAAGGUACACAGGGAUCGAAGAUGCCAAAAGAAACAGAGGAAAUACAUAUAUCUACAAUCCGUCAGCAAAACCGUCAAGGAAACCAGGAAUGGAUGAUCAAUCUGAACAUUCAUAUAACAACAAAUCGUUCUGUUCUGAAGAGUUUGCUAUUAAAAGACCACAUUUGAGGACAAAGUGGGAUUUCUUUCAUUCCGAUUAUAGCAGAUCAAAAAUACAGCGACCGGACUACAUGUAAAAUAUAAUUCAACCAAAUCGAAAAUCAUCACUGCUGCAUAAUAUUUCAUGCAAAAUAAGAAAUGUACUUGUGUAUAAUCAAGAACAUGUGUUAUGCAUAUUCCUUAAUGAUUCCGUCCAUGAAAAGUAAAAUCACAAAAAUACUGAACUCCGAGGAAAAUUCAAAAAGGAAAGUCCCCAAUCAAAUGGCAAAAUCAAAAAAACACUGAAAGCACACUGUUUUGAGUGAUAGCUCAUCGAUACGUUUUGCAGUUUUAUACGAUGAACACAUGAUUUAAUUCAACUCUAACAGAAGGAUGUUUGUUUCAUAAAAACAUGUAAUUUGAUCACUAAUAUACGUUUUGCAGUUUUAUACGAUGAACACAUGAUUUAAUUCAACUCUAACAGAAGGAU